GCAGCAGUGGGGAAUUUUCCGCAAUGGGCGAAAGCCUGACGGAGCGACGCUGCGUGAAGGAUGACGGCCUGAGGGUUGUAAACUUCUUUUCUCGAAGAAGAAUCAAUGACGGUAUUCGAGGAAUAAGCAUCGGCUAACUCUGUGCCAGCAGCCGCGGUAAGACAGAGGAUGCAAGUGUUAUUCGGAUUGAUUGGGCGUAAAGCGUCUGUAGGCGGUUUAGAAAGUCUUUUGUGAAAUACUUCAGCUCAACUGGAGCUCCGCAAAAGAAACUUCUAGACUUGAGGGAAGUAGAGGUACAGGGAAUUUCCGGUGGAGCGGUGAAAUGCGUAGAUAUCGGAAGGAACACCAAUAUGGCGAAGGCACUGUACUGGGCUUUACCUGACGCUAAGAGACGAAAGCUAAAGGAGUGAUUAGGAUUAGAUACCCUAGUAAUUUUAGCCGUAAACGAUGGAAACUCACUGCCGAGCCGGUAUUCGGAGCGGUGGUCAAGCUAACGCGUGAAGUUUCCCGCCUGGGGAUUACGCAUGCAAAUGUGAAACUCAAAGGAAUUGACGGGGACCCGCACAAGCGGUGGAGUAUGUGGUUUAAUUCGAUGCAACGCGAAAAACCUUACCAAGGUUUGAAAUCAUUCUAAAACUCUUUGAAAGAAGAGCCUCCUUCGGGAUAGAAUGACAGGUGGUGCAUGGCUGUCGUCAGCUCGUGUUGUGAAAUGUCAAGUUAAGUCUUGUAACGAGCGCAACCCAUGUCUUUUGUUGCUGUUUACAGUGCUUAAAAGAGACUGCCGCUCUACAGCGGAGGAAGGUGUGGAUGAUGUCAAGUCAGCAUGCCCCUUAUAUCUUGGGCUACACACGUACUACAAUGGUAGGGACAAUGAGUCGCAAACCUGCGAAGGCUAGCCAAUCUCAAAAACCCUAUCUCAGUUCGGAUUGUACUCUGCAACUCGAGUGCAUGAAGGUGGAAUCGCUAGUAAUCGCUGGUCAGCAUACAGCGGUGAAUACGUUCCCGGGUCUUGUACACACUGCCCGUCACACCAUGGAAGUCGAUCCUUCCCUAAGUCGUUACUCGAACCUUUUAGGACGAGGAUGCCGAAGGCAGGGUUGGU
rnacentral:rRNA from 1 species